AGAACGAACGCUGGCGGCGUGGAUAAGACAUGCAAGUCGAACGCGAUUUAUCAGGUUAGCAAUAACUUGGUGGAUUGAGUGGCGAAAGGGUGCGUAACACGUGGGAAUUUACCAAGAAGUGGGGAAUAGCUCGACGAAAGUCGAAUUAAUACCGCAUACGAUCGCAAGAUCAAAGCCGGGGACCGCAAGGCCUGGCGCUUUUUGAGAAGCCCGCGGCCCAUCAGCUAGUUGGCGGGGUAACGGCCCACCAAGGCUAUGACGGGUAGCUGGUCUGAGAGGACGACCAGCCACACUGGAACUGAGACACGGUCCAGACACCUACGGGUGGCAGCAGUCGAGGAUUUUUUCACAAUGGAC
rnacentral:rRNA from 1 species